rnacentral:rRNA from 1 species
GCACCCGCGGUAAUUCCAGCUCCAAUAGCGUAUAUUAAAGUUGUUGCAGUUAAAAAGCUCGUAGUUGGAUUUCUGGGAGGGUGCCGAUGUCCACUUAACGUGUGCGCAGCGGCGCCCUCUCAUCCUUCUGUUAGCGUCUCUUGGCAUUCAUUUGCUGGUGGCGGGCUCAGAUAUUUUACCUUGAGAAAAUUAGAGUGUUUCAGGCAGGCUAGGCCGGAAUACAUUAGCAUGGAAUAAUGGAAUAGGACUACGGUCUCUUUGUUGGUUUGAGGGACUGCAGUAAUGAUUAAUAGGGAUAGUUGGGGGCAUUAGUACUUAACUGUCAGAGGUGGAAUUCUCAGAUUUGUUAAAGACUGACUUAUGCGAAAGCAUUUGCCAAGGAUGUUUUCAUUGAUCAAGAACGAAAGU